AACGAACGCUGGCGGCAUGCCUAACACAUGCAAGUUGAACGAACCCUUCGGGGUUAGUGGCGCACGGGUGCGUAACGCGUGGGAAUCUGCCCUUUGCUUCGGAAUAACUCAGGGAAACUUGUGCUAAUACCGGAUGAUGUCUUCGGACCAAAGAUUUAUCGGCAAGGGAUGAGCCCGCGUAGGAUUAGGUAGUUGGUGGGGUAAAGGCCUACCAAGCCGACGAUCCUUAGCUGGUCUGAGAGGAUGAUCAGCCACACUGGGACUGAGACACGGCCCAGACUCCUACGGGAGGCGGCAGUGGGGAAUAUUGGACAAUGGGCGCAAGCCUGAUCCAGCAAUGCCGCGUGAGUGAUGAAGGCCCUCGGGUCGUAAAGCUCUUUUACCAGGGAUGAUAAUGACAGUACCUGGAGAAUAAGCUCCGGCUAACUCCGUG
rnacentral:rRNA from 1 species